rnacentral:rRNA from 1 species
UACAGAGGGUGCGAGCGUUACUCGGAAUUACUGGGCGUAAAGCGCGCGUAGGCGGCUUUGCAAGUCGAGUGUGAAAUCCCCAGGCUUAACCUGGGAACUGCAUUCGAGACUGCAUGGCUAGAGUAUGGGAGAGGGAAGUGGAAUUUCAGGUGUAGCGGUGAAAUGCGUAGAUAUCUGAAGGAACAUCAGUGGCGAAAGCGACUUCCUGGACCAAUACUGACGCUCAUGUGCGAAAGCGUGGGGAGCAAACAGG